rnacentral:tRNA from 1 species
GCAGUGGUGGUUCAGUGGUGGAAUUCUUCUCUUCCAUCCGGGAGACCUGGGUUCAAUUCCCAGCCAGUGUA